GAUGAACGCUGGCGGCGUGCCUAAUACAUGCAAGUCGAGCGAACGGACGAGAAGCUUGCUUUUCUGAUGUUAGCGGCGGACGGGUGAGUAACACGUGGAUAACCUACCUAUAAGACUGGGAUAACUUCGGGAAACCGGAGCUAAUACCGGAUAAUAUUUUGAACCGCAUGGUUCAAAAGUGAAAGACGGUCUUGCUGUCACUUAUAGAUGGAUCCGCGCUACUUUAGCUAGUUGGUAAGGUAACGGCUUACCAAGGCAACGAUGCAUAGCCGCCCUGAGAGGGUGAUCGGCCACACUGGAACUGAGACACGGUCCAGACUCCUACGGGAGGCAGCAGUAGGGAAUCUUCCGCAAUGGGCGAAAACCUGACGGAGCAACGCCGCGUGAGUGAUGAAGGUCUUCGGAUCGUAAAACUCUGUUAUUAGGGAAGAACAUAUGUGUAAGUAACUGUGCACAUCUUGACGGUACCUAAUCAGAAAGCCACGGCUAACUACGUG
rnacentral:rRNA from 1 species